UCAUCUCAUCUAUUAUUGUAUUCUCUGAUUUUCAUCCUCAACGCCCACGCCCACGCCCUCCAGAGCUACUACUCAUAUUCUCUGAUUUUCAUCCUCAACGCCCACGCCCACGCCCUCCAGAGCUACUACUCAUAAUAUCCCAUUAAUUAUUUCAUCAGUCGACCGCUUCAGAUUCUCAAGCUCAAAAGUUUAUAAAUUCCUCACUUUAUCUAACUGAAUCACUCAAGAAAAUUAAUCACAUAAACAUUUUUUAAGGAGAGAAACCAAUCUCUCUCUCAGAUCGGAGAAAAGAGCCAUGGCGGCUGCGUGGAACGGGAGUGAGUACUUCGACAUCGACGUUGAGACAGGUAGACAAUCGUUCGCGUGCGGCCGUCGAACGCUGAGACUGUUGAGCAAGACAAAGAAGAUCUGAGAUGGGCCGCCGUAGGAAGGCUACCGUCGCAGUUCCCUCAUCCGAGCGUUCGCUAAUCUUGAAUCGGCAGCAGAGUUUGAAGAGUCAAAUGUUCCUCACUACAACUGAUUAGAGUUUGAAGAAUCAGUUGAAAGACAUGGUGAAGCGUGGAAAGAAUCUGAGAGUGAAGGAAGCUGAUUGAGGAUAUAGAUGAGUACGACGGUGACGACCCUCUCUUCCCAUGGAUAAAGUGUUUUAAAGGGGUGCAGGAGGCGUUUCCUCCGGGUGGAGAGUGCUUGUGUAGCUAUUUCCCUGCUGCUUUCCUUGCCAUUCACCUUUGAAUGGAGAAGAAGCUUCAGCCGAAUCUUCGUCGGGACAUCAAUUAAUUGGACAGAUCAGAGUGCAGGAUCAGUUGAAGAAGAAAUUGAUUGCGUACGAUGAUUUCCCAUGGAAGUAACCUUCAUCAGCGAUGAGAGAUGAUCAAGUACAUUAGAGGCAAGUACGAGCUACUUCUCUACGUGGAGUUCACCAUGACCACUCUCCUCUCUCCUUUCAUGUUCCAUAUGUCCAUGGGUUUCUUGCCUUUCGUGAGUUCCUCUUCUCCUUCGUUGUGUCUGAUCCAGUGCUCUGCUGUUUUCAUUUGCUUAAUCAAGUAUUUUGGAAUCCAAAAAUUGGACUUUUCGUGUUACAUGCUAUCUUCUCUUGCAGAUUCUACAAAUAAGGAGGGAUGAUAAGCAUCCUUUCUAUUCUCAGUUUCGUCUUACCGUUGGCUGAUCUUAAACCAUGCUUUUUUUCUUUCUAAAAGUCUCUAACUUUGCUUUCGUUACAUACAAAGGUAUUGAUGGUUGAUGGAAAUGGAAUACUUCAUGUGCGAGGUAUAAAAGGCCAAUUUUCUUCUUUUACCGUAGUUUAUUAUGUUUGCUGGAUCUCAAGCUUUGUCAUAUGGCCAUGAAUUUACAUUUGUGGUCUAGGAUUUGGUUUGGCGUGUCAUUUAGGUGUUCGUGCUCACCUUCCUCCUAUUGGGUAGGUAAGAAAGUAUGGUCUUCUCAAAUUCUCUUUUGCAACUAUUUCAUAAUGUUCCUACAUUUUCAUUUGACCGAUUUGUCAAAUCUCAAUUGCAUCAUGUGGAUGGUCUGAAUCAAUCUGAGCUUAGACGGUCUUUUCAGAUGAAAGUAAAUCAGGAGCAAGUUAUCACUUUGGUGAGGAACUCUGGAUUUACGUGGGAAUUUUAAGUGACGUUGCUUGAGCAUUUGUCAAUAAGACUUUCCAACACAGCUUCUUCUCCCCUAAGUGUGGUUUCCAUUAUCUAUGUGAUAAAGUGAAUUCUUGGUCAGGUUUCAACAGGGAUUUAGGCCAACUAUGAGUUCUCUCAAGCUCCUAUACGUUUCAGUUGGCCCCCACACAAUAUAGGUGUACUUUACAUGGAUCAGUUUACGCCAAAAAAGCUACAUAAACAAAAGAGCGCAUGAGUUAGGUCGAUCUAAUUCUUUCCACCAGAUUUUUAUAACAGAUGAUUCUUUUUAAAAAAAUAUAUAUAGAUGAUGUUUUCUGUCAGAUCGAGAUGUUUACUAGAUGUAUUAUAGAUUCGGGAACAAAUAUGCUUAUGCAGAAUGAAAAUAGAACCAUGUAAGAUGUUAAUUGGCCGGCUCUCUUAGAAAACCACUGAAUAUCCAGAGUACUUCCAGAAUUUCGGUGCAGUUUUACAAGUGGUGAUCAUGGAGGACCGAGCCACUGGCUGUGUUCAUGGCUUUGGUUUCUUUUUUUCGCAGGUCCCAGUGUGCUGUGAGAGCCAUAUUGCUCAUUCACGUCAUGAUUAUUAAGCUAGAGGAGUGAAUCACGGUGGUGGUGGUUAAGACUAUGGCGGGCAUGGAGAAGAAGAAGGAUGGUGAGGGAUCGGAAAAGAGGCGGAAUGGUUCAACGACCAGUGACAUGGAGCGGUUGGAUCUGGGACUGUUCUAAUGAUCACCGCUAGAUCAUGUGUCUUUGGUAUUAAGAAAUUGCAGGAUUUAAUUUUUGUACGUCAGUUGUUUGAUCAUAUUUUUAAGAAUAUUUUUCUCUGUUUGAGAUUUAAGAUUACACAUUUUGGUUUUAA